GGGUGGGGAUUUGUUGCAUUACU
rnacentral:ncRNA from 7 species